UACGUGGGGUGCAAGCGUUGUUCGGAAUUACUGGGCGUAAAGCGUGUGUAGGCGGCUCGUUAAGUCUGACGUGAAAUCCCUGGGCUUAACCCAGGAACUGCAUCGGAAACUAGCGAGCUUGAGUCCGGGAGAGGGUAGUGGAAUUCCUGGUGUAGAGGUGAAAUUCGUAGAUAUUCGCAAGAACACCAGUGGCGAAGGCGGCUCACUGGCCCGGUACUGACGCUGAGGUGCGAAAGCGUGGGGAGCAAACAGG
rnacentral:rRNA from 1 species